AAGAGCAAUCUAAUUUAGCAAAGAAGGUAAUGACCUGGAAAUUUAUGAUGAACCAAACAAAGGGAAGUGGGAGAGUCUUGCAGCAGAAAGAGUAUCAGGUUAAAAUCAUCAGCUGUCCCCUGAAUCACUGCCCAGUUGCCAGCUGCUGGUCUUUGCUCCAAAGUCAGUGUGGCCAAUUCUGCAAAUUUUGUUGACUCAUCCAACCUUCAAGGACCUACUUAGAUAUCCAAAAUGACUUAAAAUGUAGACUUCCUAAUCAUGAGAAAUCUGUACCUGGUAAAUGAUUCACUGGGCAAACGAGAAAGACUCCUUUUCAUCCUGCCAAUUCCAAUUUCACAUGUGUGCAACUUUGAUGGGAAAUCAUUGUCAUCAGAUUCAUCCAGGCUUCACAAAAUCAAAAUAUCCAAGCAACUAUCAUUGCAGGAAAUGAAUGUUCACGGCACAAAGCCAAAAGAAUCUCCAAAGGGGUAGUGUUAUCAAACAAAAGCAAAAGGAACCCAUGUUCUGUAGACAGACACAUUUCACAUCAGCUUCAAGAUUAAUUUGUUGAUACAGAUAGAAAGAAUUACUCUCUGUUGUCAGGAGUGAACACCUACCUGUCCACGUUCUUUGAUCUUUGCAUCCUCCCUAUAGAACGACAAGUAAUCGGCACACUUGGCACUGCUUGUGCACUCAUUCCAUCAGGAUUGCCCACGGCGCUGAUUCUGGAACUGUUAUUCAUCUAUUAAAACCUAGGUCAAUGACAAGUUCUUCUGAAAGAUUAUACUGUAGAGUACACAGUCAAUAAUAAAUCUGAUUAUUUAUAGUUAUCAUAAUGUUGAGGUCAAAUACA